AUCGCUUCUCGGCCUUUUGGCUAAGAUCAAGUGUAAAAGUUGAUACCAAAAUUUAGUUCAAAAAUGAUAAUCUGUUCAUAUUUGUUCUUUAAUUUUUUUUAAGGUAAUGGGCAAGUAAAGAGGUUUCAAUUAUCAUUCUACAGGCCUC
rnacentral:snRNA from 1 species